rnacentral:rRNA from 1 species
CGUAGGAAUCUACCUAGUAGUGGGGAAUAGCCAAGGGAAACCGUUGGGUAAGUACCGCAUACGAUCUAAGGAUGAAAGGGGGCCCUCUCUUUGAAGCUCUCGCUAUUAGAUGAGCCUGCGUAAGAUUAGCUUGUUGGUGGGGUAAUGGCCCACCAAGGCGACGAUCUUUAGCUGGUCUGAGAGGAUGAUCAGUCACACUGGAACUGAGACACGGUCCAGACUCCUACGGGAGGCAGCAGUCGGGAAUAUUGGACAAUGGGGGAAACCCUGAUCCAGCCAUGCCGCGUGUGUGAAGAAGGC